rnacentral:rRNA from 1 species
GACGAACGCUGGCGGCGUGCUUAACACAUGCAAGUCGAACGGAAAGGCCCUGCUUUUGUGGGGUGCUCGAGUGGCGAACGGGUGAGUAACACGUGAGUAACCUGCCCUUGACUUUGGGAUAACUUCAGGAAACUGGGGCUAAUACCGGAUAGGAGCUCCUACUGCAUGGUGGGGGUUGGAAAGUUUCGGCGGUUGGGGAUGGACUCGCGGCUUAUCAGCUUGUUGGUGGGGUAGUGGCUUACCAAGGCUUUGACGGGUAGCCGGCCUGAGAGGGUGACCGGCCACAUUGGGACUGAGAUACGGCCCAGACUCCUACGGGAGGCAGCAGUGGGGAAUAUUGCACAAUGGGCGGAAGCCUGAUGCAGCAACGCCGCGUGCGGGAUGACGGCCUUCGGGUUGUAAACCGCUUUCGCCUGUGACGAAGCGUGAGUGACGGUAAUGGGUAAAGAAGCACCGGCUAACUACGUGCCAGCAGCCGCGGUGAUACGUAGGGUGCGAGCGUUGUCCGGAUUUAUUGGGCGUAAAGGGCUCGUAGGUGGUUGAUCGCGUCGGAAGUGUAAUCUUGGGGCUUAACCCUGAGCGUGCUUUCGAUACGGGUUGACUUGAGGAAGGUAGGGGAGAAUGGAAUUCCUGGUGGAGCGGUGGAAUGCGCAGAUAUCAGGAGGAACACCAGUGGCGAAGGCGGUUCUCUGGGCCUUUCCUGACGCUGAGGAGCGAAAGCGUGGGGAGCGAACAGGCUUAGAUACCCUGGUAGUCCACGCUGUAAACGGUGGGUACUAGGUGUGGGGUCCAUUCCACGGGUUCCGUGCCGUAGCUAACGCUUUAAGUACCCCGCCUGGGGAGUACGGCCGCAAGGCUAAAACUCAAAGGAAUUGACGGGGCCCCGCACAAGCGGCGGAGCAUGCGGAUUAAUUCGAUGCAACGCGUAGAACCUUACCUGGGUUUGACAUGGAUCGGGAGUGCUCAGAGAUGGGUGUGCCUCUUUUGGGGUCGGUUCACAGGUGGUGCAUGGCUGUCGUCAGCUCGUGUCGUGAGAUGUUGGGUUAAGUCCCGCAACGAGCGCAACCCUUGUUCACUGUUGCCAGCACGUUAUGGUGGGGACUCAGUGGAGACCGCCGGGGUCAACUCGGAGGAAGGUGGGGAUGACGUCAAGUCAUCAUGCCCCUUAUGUCCAGGGCUUCACGCAUGCUACAAUGGCUGGUACAGAGAGUGGCGAGCCUGUGAGGGUGAGCGAAUCUCGGAAAGCCGGUCUCAGUUCGGAUUGGGGUCUGCAACUCGACCUCAUGAAGUCGGAGUCGCCAGUAAUCGCAGAUCAGCAACGCUGCGGUGAAUACGUUCCCGGG